AAGUCGUAACAAGGUUUCCGUAGGUUGAAACCGGGGAAGGUGCAAUAAAAAGUGGAUUGGGUUUCAUUUCUGACUAUUACCAUCCGGUACUUCUGUUGUUCCUGGGCCUACCUAGGUCACUCUUGUGAUGUGAAACCCAAGAGAGUCCCCAUGGGAGGUAAUCAUUAAAUUCAUGUAUCCAAUGUCUUCUGUCUGAACUGUUUAUAACAAAUGUUAAAA
rnacentral:misc_RNA from 1 species